rnacentral:rRNA from 1 species
AGAGCCCAGCGCUAAAUCUUUUUGCUCUAACGGGCGAAGAGAGGUGUAGCGUAUAGGAGGCGAUUCUCCUCGAUGGCUGUCGACUUAAAUCCCCCAUGACUGGGGUUCCAUAGAGGGUGAUAGGCCCGUUCAGUCGAUGGCCGUAGAGGAUUCCGUUCUCCUUGGAGUCGGGUUGUUUGGAAACGCAGCCCAAAUUGGGUGGUAAACUCCAUCUAAGGCUAAAUACGGCCACGAAACCGAUAGCAAACAAGUACCGUGAGGGAAAGUUGAAAAGUACUUUGAAGAGAGAGUUCAAGAGGACGUGAAACCGGUAGGAUGGAAACGGAUAGAGCCAACGAACAAGCCCGUAUUCAGCUAGUCGGYUGCGCACGGYCUAGUUGAUUCGUCAGUCUUGACGUUCGAUUGGAUGCGGUGUGCGAUUGGCUAGUGCAUUUGCGGGUGAUGUGCGCUGAGGCGUACGGCGGUGACCUGCGAACCGCGACUAGAGGACUUCGCUUYRCGGCGUAGAAACCUGGUCUGCGGCUAGUAGCGUUGUUUGCUGCUGUGCGUAUYUAUUGGCUAGGUGUCUUCGCGUUGCCACGUGGCGGAGGCUAGUCCACUGGUCGGUCGCGUGCGACUUGAUCUUUGGAUUGGUCCCCGUUGCGGGGUAGCGCCCUAGUUGAACCUCGGUGUCGAAGUUGGUCAUCUCUCCGACCCGUCUUGAAACACGGACCAAGGAGUCUAGCGUAUGCGCGAGUCAUUGGGUGUUGAAAACCCAUAGGCGAAAUGAAAGUGAAGGUCYUCGUAUGGGGACUGAUAUGCGAUCCGUUGUGCUACGGCAUACGCGGAGCAGCAUAGCCCCGUCUAUGCGGCUUGCCGUUGGGCGGAGGUAGAGCGUAUUCGCUGGUACCCGAAAGAUGGUGAACUAUGCCUGAGCAGGAUGAAGCCAGAGGAAACUCUGGUGGAGGUCCGAAGCGCUUCUGACGUGCAAAUCGAUCGUCUGACUUGGGUAUAGGGGCGAA